GAUGAACGCUGGCGGCGUGCCUAAUACAUGCAAGUCGAACGAGGUGCUUUUGUAGCAAUACGAGAGUAUCCUAGUGGCGAACGGGUGAGUAACGCGUUGGUGACCUACCCCAAAGUGUGGGAUAACAGUCCGAAAGGAUUGCUAAUACCGCAUGUGGUCUUCGGAUUUAGAAACUGAUGACUAAAGGAGCAAUUCGCUUUGGGAGGGACCUGCGUCCCAUCAGCUAGUUGGUGAGGUAAUGGCUCACCAAGGCUACGACGGGUAGGGGACCUGAGAGGGUGACCCCCCACAAUGGAACUGAAACACGGUCCAUACACCUACGGGUGGCAGCAGUAGGGAAUAUUGCACAAUGGGCGAAAGCCUGAUGCAGCAACGCCGCG
rnacentral:rRNA from 1 species